rnacentral:rRNA from 1 species
ACGAACGCUGGCGGCGUGCUUAACACAUGCAAGUCGAACGGAAAGGCCUGCUUUCCCUUGUGGAUUGCGGGUACUCGAGUGGCGAACGGGUGAGUAACACGUGAGUGAUCUGCCCCCAACUUGGGUAUAAGCCUGGGAAACUGGGUCUAAUUCCCGAUAGGACUGCAGGGUGGUGCCUGUGGUGGAAAACGGUUUUCUAGUGGUUGGGGAUGAGCUCGCGGCCUAUCAGCUUGUUGGUGGGGUAAUGGCCUACCAAGGCGGCGACGGGUAGCCGGCCUGAGAGGGUGGACGGCCACAUUGGGACUGAGAUACGGCCCAGACUCCUACGGGAGGCAGCAGUGGGGAAUAUUGCACAAUGGGCGGAAGCCUGAUGCAGCGACGCCGCGUGGGGGAUGACGGCCUUCGGGUUGUAAACUCCUUUCGACCGCGAGGAAGCCACCUGGUUGGAAGGGUGGUGACGGUAGUGGUAGAAGAAGCACCGGCUAACUACGUG